GUAGAAUAAUUUUGGGUGGAACGCUUUUCCUGCUCGGAAUCGGUGCAAUUUUAAAAGCCGUCCUGCCCGAGCUGGUGUAUCGCUUUUCAGAACAAACGAUCCAGCCGGGUCCCUCUGUGUCGCUGAAAUGCACCGCCGUCGGAAAUCCACCCCCGCAAUUCACAUGGACGCUGGACGGCUUCGCACUCCCAGAAAGUGAAAGAUUUCUGGUGGGCCAGUACGUCACGAUUCAUGAAUACUUCUCUCCAUAACUACAAUAAUUGUUCACCGCCUUGAGCACAAGUAUAUGACUCUACCAAAGUGGUAAUGAUAAGU